GGCGAGCAGCGUGAAGACGCUCAUACCCGAAUUCAUCUGCUGGAAGAUGACGAGCGGCGGCAGCCCCAUAUAGACGAUCGUGGCAAAGCUCGCGACGCCGAGGCAGAAGGCGAUUGGCGUGCCUAUCAGCAUAAGCAGGGUGAAGACGCCGAAGAGGAUCCAGGUCGCCACCGCUCAGGCUCCCCCGGCGUCCGCGACGGUCGGCGCGUCGCCUUCGUGGAGGUCCUUGUCGACGUCGA
rnacentral:misc_RNA from 1 species